CCAAGGCCACGCCGAGGGCCCUACCCGCGACCGGCCACGACGGCGCCCAGCCCCGCUUUCCUUCCGAGCUAGGCCCAAGCCACGGCAUCAAGUUCCCAUAUCCGCCCCCCCUCGUGGACUAGUCGCCUGGCUCCCCUGCAGAGGGCGGUCAGUGGAGGCAUGGCCCUCAUCUACCCCGUUCUGAGAGGCUCAGGUCUCUCACGUCGUGCAGGACUCACAAAGGAAGACUCGGGUGAGACGCGGGAACAAGCACUUCCUGGUCAGCGAGGACUUAGGUACUGCGCAUGCGCCCCGGAGCCUGCCGGGGGGCCGCACAGAGCCCUGCCCUCAGAGAGCGCAUCGCUGACCCGGAAGCAGUUGGAGAGCCACGGACGGAACCUGAGCAUCCAUCCGCUGUGCGGGCAGCCUGUGACAGCCUAGGGCGAGGCACGCGUUUGGAUAGGUUACUUCUACAUUAGGCAAUGAGAUUUCGUCAUGGGAUGGGAAAAAGAUAUGUGAUGACAUGACCGGAAUGAAAGCUGUGAGAGGCUGGGCUCUGUCCGGUGCCCCUGCGGUGUCCACUGUACCUGGAACGUGAUUGGUGCAGGGAUGGAACCAUGACUCCAGAAGGGCCAGAGACUUACUUACCUGGGAAUUGUCUUUGGGAGUUAUGAAGAAUGGCAUUCUCUUUGCUAGGAUGCUAAACUGAUCUGAAGUGUGCCUGGCCAUAAGCCAGUUU